GCAUUAAGGGGCCUAAUGGAUAAGGCAUCUGACUUCGGAUCAGAAGAUUUAAUGCC
rnacentral:tRNA from 1 species